CUUUUUCUGGUCAGAGCGAUUGUGACACAGUUGGUUUCUUUUCCCCCGCUCCCUCCCUCUCUGUCUGUGUUAUUUUUGGAAAGCUCGUGUCCCUCCUCCGAAGUUUCAGCUCAGCAGCAGGUUGUAUUUCACAGGCUCCAGCUGAUGGGAACCAUGCCUUGUCACUGCGCGCCGCCGCUGGGGAAGCAGCACAGAACCUUAACUUGAAACUAAGGAAGAGAAGUUCAGCUCAAGGUUUUGAGCAGACAGCGGUGGAGAAAGUUGGACACGAUGGGAGAAUGGAACUUCCUCAGCGAUCUCCUCGAUUCCGUCAAGAACCACUCGCCCAUGCUGGGUCGCAUUUGGCUCCUGCUGAUGGUAAUUUUCCGGAUGCUCGUCCUGGCCACGGUGGGCAGUGACAUUUUUGAGGACGAGCAAGAGGAGUUUAUCUGCAACACGCUGCAGCCGGGCUGUAAACAGGUCUGUUACAAUAAGGCUUUUCCUAUUUCACCGUUUAGGUUCUGGAUGUUUCACAUCGUGAUUCUGUCCAUCCCGACCCUACUGUUUGUGGUCUAUGCUGUACACCAGUCCUCUAAGAAGAAACCAGACGACGUUAGCCUCAAAGAAAGAAAAGGGCUGUCCUCUGAUCCGCCAAAAUUACAGAAAUUCUACUUGAUUCAUGUGAUUCUGCGUCUGCUCACUGAGAUCGGCCUCGUCGUUUCUCAGUUUUUAAUAUACGGCUUUACGAUCGAACCCCAGUUUCUCUGCUUCGGCUUCCCAUGCCCUCACACAGUGGACUGUUUCGUUUCCCGUCCAAUGGAGAAGACAGUCUUUUUAAUGUUCUACUUCGUAAUUGGUGUCAUUUCUGCGACUGUUAGCUUUGUAGAAUUGGUGCACGUUUUUCGCAAAUUGUUUUGUGGGAAGCCACUGAAAGCCUGCGAGCAACAGAACCGGUCAAACAGUAAUUAUGAGAAAGGGAGGGAUCCCCACGCAGUCCGGCUAAUGGAGAAGAAAAGUACAGUCACUUGCAACACCAACUAUUCUGACGUGGAGUCUUCUCACAAGAGCAAAUCAUUAGGUAGCAGCAACAGUGUAAGAUCCUCACAGUCAAGUACAAAGAAACCCCCUCUUCAUAUCUAAGAGGAAGUGGUAUAGGAUCUGAUUGGUCAUGGACUUUCAUACUGAACAACGUCUCAGCAAAAAAGAGACUGAAAUCUUAACAAGUGCAAAAUCAGGUCUGAUCAGAACCUUCUGUGGCUCAAUGGAAAGCCGAACAAACUUAACUGUUUUCAAUUCCACUUGCUCUCUGUCCACAUGCUUGUGAUUUUAUCAGUGAUAAUGGGAACUGCAGAUGCUGGAGAAUUCCAAGAAAAUAAAAUGUGGCGCUGGAUGAACACAGCAGGCCCAGCAGCAUCUCAGGAGCACAAAAGCUGACGUUUUGGGCCUAGACCCUUCAUCAGAGAGGAGUUGCAGAAGACUUUUGAGGUUGAGGAGAUGGGCAAUCACGUGAAUGGUCCCUGUGGAUUUGAGCGAGAUACCAGAGAGUGACGAAGGGUCACGUGCCGUGAGAACAAGUCAGCGCCAUGAUGCUACAAUGAAAGCUGAGAAGAAGAAAGAAAAUCACAGCAUUAUUAGCAGGAUGGGGGGGGGGAUGCAGAAUUCCACAACCUUUUUGUAAUUGAAGUUGGCUGGUACCAACAUUGUACCGUAACAGAGUGACAUUAACUAUGCUCAAAUUCCUGGCAGUAUUCAUUGUCCACUCUCUGUAGGAGAUGCUUUUGACUCUGCAUCCCUUUUAUGUGAUUAAAACAAUAUUUUUAAACAAA